CUUGGCCUGCAUACAGGUUUCUCAGGAGGCAGGUAAGAUGGUUCCAUCUCUUUAAGAAUUUUCCACUGUUUGUUGUGAUCCACAGAGUAAAAGGCUUUCUUGUAGUCAAUGAAGAAAAAGUAGAUGUAUUUUCUGGAGUUCUCUUGCGUUUUCUAUAAUCCACUGGAUGUUGGCAAUUUGAUCUCUGGUUCC